UCUUGCGGCUUCCAUGCAGAAGUGCACAGAAACAGCUAUUUGCUAUUGAAAAGUUGGCUGUUACUGUUCUUCUGAUGGAUGCUGCUGGA
rfam:Balearica pavonina gibbericeps contig52334, whole genome shotgun sequence.